AGUUGAGGAGAGCUUGGGAAGAGUCCUGAUGAGGAAGUAGCAACAAGCAGAAGAAGUAGUCAGAGCGGUGAAGGACUGUCCCCAAGAAAUAUUGCUGAGGAGGAGAGGCAGCAGCGGGGAAUGAAGCAUUCUUCAGCUCCUCAAGGGGUCUGGACCACUGGAAAGGUCAAGCAAACAAAGUUAAAAUAACCAUGAGGCUUGCUGGCCAGCCAGCACUCUGGGUCCAAGAUCAGCGGUGCUGCUGGUGGUGACUAAUGCAAUUAAAUCAGCUCUGGGUCCUGUGCUGCGGGAAUGAUCUUAUAGCGGUGCGUGCUGCUGCCAGAUGGAUUGCUCAAGCCUGGAAACCUCCCUCGUGCACACAUACUUAAUCGCAACAGGCGCUUUCCGUGAAAAAAUGUGGCACUGGCGGAGGGAUUUUUAGCCUCUUCGCUGUAGGAAACAACGGCAGGGAGCAGAGUGCAGUGUGCAGGAGUCGGUGGGUGGUGAGCAUGGGCUUUUUGGGCUGCAAAGGGCCGUUCAUUUCUUGGGAAUGGUGGCAAAGCAGAGCCUGGAGGAAUGUGUACCAGGAGGACUUGCUGGAUAAGGGGCCAGCAAGCACUGUGGACUGGCUGCCAGCACUGAGGAUGCUCCACCAGGUAUCCCCCUGCAAGCUGUGGCAGCUUCCAGCCUCUCCCAGAGAGGAGUUUGAUGUCUAGCCAUGUCUGCUGUGGUUGUUUCUCAAUUGUUUCUAUCUUGAAAGAUUAGUAUUUGGAAUAACAGUGAGAAAGUAGCUAUCUGGAAUUUGCCUGGACCAAAUGGCAUGGGUAGUUUCUCUGUUUCCCACUUUGUGAGGCAUCAGUGGAAAGCUGGAAGGAAAGGGCGGGAGGUCAAGGACAGCAUCUGAGCCCCAUUAUGUCACCCACUGUGCUGGUGCUUAAUUCACCAAAGUCUCCCUGUGGUGAGGUGACCUUACAGUGAAAACACUUCUGCUUCCUUUCCUUCUCAUCAGGUACUCCUGGCUUUGUCACAAGCUUCAUUAUCACAUGCAAGGAGAAAAGCAUCAUCAGUUUAUGGCCAUAUAUUAACACUAAGCACCAUGAAUAGUGUAUGAAAAUGGAGUGUCAGCCAGGAGAGAUCAUCCUUCAGCUGCUGCUGUUGGUAACUGCUGAAGUUUGAGACAUCCUGUAGGCUUACGUAGUAGGAAGCUGCUCAGUUUUUAAUGGAAAGGCCCUUUCCUGUUCAAUUUGAAUUCUUACACUUUUCUGGACAAUUAAACUGGGGUUUGAGGUACUACAGAUCACUUUUACCUAAGAGCAACCUCAUAUUUGACCACUGUGGCUAAAUCCAUGUUGUUACCAUAGUUGGUCCUAACUAUGGAAAAAAUGACAUACAAGGAAGGAAGCACAAGCUGCACCUUCCAGUCUUCCAUUAAGUCUCCCAAAUUCAUUAACAUCAAAACAGUCGUGUUAGGUCAGACUAAGGGUUUAUUCAUCUCAAUAUCUUUCCUUCAGAUGCAUCUUAACUAUGUUUGUGAAAUAAGUAGGAAACCUUUUCCCUUGUACAUUCUUCCAGCUCUCUGUGGUUUAAGCAUGUCCUGAUGUAAAGCCUGCACUCACCCCAUAAUCUUUUUAGCAGUCAUAAACAAAGCUUAAUUCCAAAAUCUCCUCAAUUUAUUAAUUCUUGUGGCCUCUGAAGCAGUCUGCUGUAAACAUCACCACAAUAUAACUAUGCAGUCAUGAACCAUUAUUUCCUUUUGCAGAUCUGGUAUCAGUUGUUCACUGCGUUGUGAAGACCCUGAGCAAACUGUUCUCCAUUCACAUUUUCCCUCACUGCCAUCACUUCACUGCUCUUCAUCCCAUUCUGCAUCAGUCUCUCCAUUCAGACCUCAGGGCUGUUUAGCCUCUCUUUGUAGGAAAGCUGUGCUGCACUGACCAUCCCUGUGCUUAUCCUGUGCUGUAUCCAAUUCUGACACAACAUUUUCUGGGAUAGCAUAGCAGUGACCUUACUGACAUUUAGUAGGUGAGAUAGAGAUAAACGUGCAAACUCCAUAAGCUUUUAAGUUGGGAAGGAAUUACUCAAUUAAAUAUUAUUAACUCAGACAACUGAAAGAACAAUGUCCUCACUGCUUUGCUGGGACUCAUAUUUACCUUACAGCAAGCCCAGAACUCACCUUUUGGGCUUUCCCAGAUGUGCAAAGUCCUGGAUUUGCCCUAGCACAGAGCAAGGUUUGUCCAAAGCACAUUUCUCUCUGAGAAAUGCAGCCCUCCAAAGGCACAAGGAAGGCAGGGGCAGCCUGCAUGGUAGUGCUAUGUGUGGGGAAGAAAAGGGGCAGAUAUCAGGGGUGGGAGCUUCAUGGGGUUAAUUUUUAAUACAGUAGAGGCUAAGAUAGGGUUAGUACUUUGGAGGGAAAGUACUGAGUGCAGGGUCAAUGACAGUAGUCAUAGUAGCCAAAAAGAAAGUGGGUCGGGUCAUUGGAGCCCCUAGAAGACUUAGAGGAGGAAAGCUACAGGGAAGCACUCCUUGUGCAUAAAGAAGGCUGAAUAUUUUAGGUGGGAAAAUACUGCCUUCGUGUCCUUAGGAAGGCAAAGGAUGCACGGAAUAAACAAACAAAUCCACAAACCCAUGCUUGCAUAAUUAUAUCAAGAUAUAUGCUGGGCUUCAUAAUGACACCAGUGCCAGCAAUAGGUUGGUUUAUAAUUUUUAUGGAUUAGGACGGGAGAAAUGAGUGCCUCAGUUCAGGGCAGCCCAUGGAAGUAUAUAGAAGAAUAUCAGUAUGUUUUGUUGCUGCUAAGAGAAAGCAACAAAACUUAAGGAAUGGCAUGUAGGCUUGGCUGCAGUCUCUGAAUAAGGCAAUUAAAAGGUUUUGCAAAAGUAGUUGACAGCCUUAUUCUCUGGGUGCUUCUGUAGAAUACUUCAUCUGCAAGGCACAGCUGGCUAUCCAGGUGAAUUGCUUUCCCAUCUCUACUGCAGAGGGAGGUGUGAGCUGACUCAGGAUGAGGCAAGGACAACAUAAACACUCGUUUUCAGACAAAUAUAAAGUAGCUCCUGCAGCAAGGCACAAAAUCAAGACAGUGAUAAUUUGCUGUUAAGCCCAGAUUCUGGAUCUGAGGACAUGGAAGUGCUCUAGUAGACAUGGGACUUCCCUUAGUUUUGCACCUUCCUAGGUGGCUCAUACGUCUCUCCCUGAGCUGUCAGCUGUGCCAGCCCUGGGCUGGAGGGAGACACUCAGACGGCACAGGUGGUGGCACAGUGGGCAUACAUGGCUGGCUAACGUGUUCCUGGUUCGCGCAGGAGCCACAAGAAGCAAAUAAAAGGGCUUGGCACAGAGCUACAUGAAAUGUUAUUGAAUGACAGGACAGUGAAUUGCAGACCUUUUUUUGAAUUGUUGUUUUGAUGCCACUCAGAAAUUUUAUUGGAAACAAGAAAUACACCAUUAUUUAUGACA